rnacentral:lncRNA from 1 species
GAGAGAGAAAAUUAAUUUUUAAUAGGUGAAAAAAAUUGAAGGAACACAUUUACAUGAUUAACGUAUCUACGAGAAACAGUUAUGCUAAAAAAAAGUUUGGCGAACAUUAGAGAAAAACCUUUGCAUGACUAACGCAUAUAUGAGGAACAGUUAUGCUAAAAAGAAAAAUAGGAAACAGUUUAGCAAAAAUAUGACAAAUAUGAGGGUCAGAUUUGUAAUUUAGUCUAGAACAAACGGUCACGUUUCGGUGGAAUGUACUAUGACAAUAAAAGAUAAGCAGGACACAACCUUGUCUCAAGACCGAUGGGACCAUCGUUAUCAAACCCGGACCGAUUGGACGGUUUGAACCGGUUAAAAUCGAUCGAUUCUCUGUGUGACGCCCCCAAAAUAGGUAUACAACACCCAUUCUGAGUCACCAAAAGAAAGCAAACUACAACUUUGACAAUACAGAUGUCGUGUAGAAUACGACAAUACAACUGUGAGUUUGAAUACAAAUAUUGUCUUCUAGACAAUAUACACACCCAAAUAAGUCCUCAUUAAUUAUUCAUACACUAUUUUACAGAAAUAGUGAGGACAGCUAAAACAUCUUCCUAGAACCAUCACUCCAUACCCC